GGCGGGCCCGCGGCUGAGGGCGGGGGCCGAGCUUAUAAAGGCCCGCGGGGCGGGCGGGCGGGCGGCGGAGGGAGGGAGGGAGUUGCUAAGCCGCCGACCGGCCCUGCUCGGCCGCCGAGAGCCGCGCGCUGCGCUCCGCCGCGGGGCAGGGCUGACGCCGCAGCGGACGCGGGCCCCGGCCGUCGGCACCGGAAGGAGGAGAAGGAGGAGGAGGGCGCGGAGGCGCUCGGGUCCCCGCCGACCAGCCGGGGGUACUGGCCGCGGCGCUCCGCACGUGCGGCGACCCGCCCUGUGCGCCAUGGCGCGUCGGCCCCGGUUGCCGGGUGCCGCCCCUUAGCGCCGAGGCGGCCCAGCGACCCCGGGACCCGGGACCCCCGGGCAUGGAGCCGCACGUGCUCGGCGCUCUCCUCUACUGGCUGCUGCUACCCUUCGCGCUCCUGGCCGGUGAGUGGGGCGGGCGCGGCGGGCUCUGGGCUGGGACAGGGGCUGCGUCCCCGCUCCCUACUUCCCGGCCGGGCAAGGGCCGUGCGCGGGCGGGCGCAGAGAUUCCCCGGGACGCGCGGCCCUGGGCGCCCGCAUUCCAGAAGCAUGAGAGCGCCGGGGAGGCCGGGGCGGCGCGGGCGGCCUCGGCGGGGUCCCCGUCCGAGCGCCGGGCUGGGAGGGCGGCAGCGGGUGGCAGAGGGAUGGCACCCCAGCGCCCACGGGAGCGGGAGGCGAGUGCCCCCGAGAGCGCGGCUGGUGCCUUCGCCCGGGGCGCUGGAGAGGAGGGUCGCCGGCCAGGGAGGAGAUUGUCUGCCCCUAUGGGAAGGGCCGGAGUGCUGGUGAGGGGGGCACGAAUCUCUUUUUCUCUUUCGUGUUUAAAAAAAAAAAGCGCAAACUUGCAUCAUGACUUCCUGACCAAUCUUGGAGAAGGCGGGCUUCCUGCCUGGAGCUGUUUAAUCUGGAUCCUGCAGAGCAGAACUAACGUCCGUGCCCUGGGCUCAGGCCCUCGCUCUUCCCCUUCCCGUCCCCACCCCGCCAGCCGGACUGGGGCAGGCCCAGGCUUUGGAAAGAAUAGUCCGGGUUCCUCCCUGCCCGCCGGCCCUGGCUUGCUCCCUGGGUUGGGUGGGAGAACAGCCCCUGGAGGCUCUGGCUUAGGAUCAGAGCUGGGUGUCCCCAACUCUGGCAUCAGUGUCCCCUGCUGGCCGGGUCAUCGGUGCCCCUUCCGAAAAGCAUGUCGCUGUGGUUCUGUCCUCUGCACCCUUCCCUGCGGCCACUGUGCUGAGAGCACAGCACCCAGGAGCUCAUCCCACCCCUUGCCCAGCCCCCAGCCCCCUCCAUGCCAGGCUGUCCUAGUGGCCGUGAGCUGGACAGUCUCAUUAAAUUAAUUCACUGAAAGAUAGAGUGGUUUGCAUUGUGAAAGUCUGUCUGUUGGGUGGAAAUCCUUCAGACCAUGGCGGGUGGGGGUGUUUUUAUUCUGAAAGCCUUUCCAGAGCCUCUUCAAUCACUCCAGGUAGGCCUCUGCCAGCGUCUAUUACAGGUCAGAGUAGACGCCCCGUGGGCCAGGAAUGCAGGGGACCCAGAGCAGCCUGCACUGUGGCUCCCAGACAGACCAUGUUUUGAUCUGUAGCAGAGAAAGGUGGUGAAGCUUGGGGACAUUUUCAGGACAGGAAUCAAUGAAAACCAUUGAGGCCGGAGAGGAGGGUCUGAGUCAGCCCUUGUGUGGACAGACAGCCUGGGCUCUGCUCCGGAGAGCGCAGGGUCAGCCGGCUGUGCUCUGUGCCGGCUUGGUUUUCCUCCUCGGGCCUCUAGACAGCCAGACGGUACAAACAAGCAGAACAGACCCAGCUAGAGGUCGGUGGAGGAGCUGGCAGUGUUGGGGGGAGUGACAGGGAAGGCUCUCAGAAGAGCAGGUUCACCCCUGCUGGCCGCACCUGCAGCCCCCUGAGCACAGGGAGGGGACCUGUAAGGCCUGGGGGGAAUCGGAGCUGGGCUCCUUCCUGAGGGGCGGCUCCCCGGUGGUGGAAUCUCAUGGUGCAGGGUCGGUAAACUUUUUCUGUAACGGGCCCCCUAGUAAAUGUUUUCACAUCACGAAAUCUUCUGAUAUUUUUUCCAACCAUUAAAAAAUGUAAAACCACUCCUAGCUUGUGGGCUGUACCCAAACAAGUGGUGGGGCCAGAUUUGGCCUGAGGGCUGGAGUUUGUUGAUCCAUGAAUUAGCCGGGGGUCCCGGGUUCUUCCCGGGUUCUUCCGGCUCUCUGGUGGCAGCUCCCGCCUCUACAGGCACUGGGCGGGGUGGGCCGGGGACCAUUCUCUGGUCCUCUGGAUGCUGCGCUGGCGCUCAUGUGGGGUUCCCACCUGGGCCACAGUAGAGUCACCUGAGGGAGCUUGUUGAUGAAUUCUCUGUACUUCUUGCUCAGUUUUUCUGUGAACCUAAAACUGCCCCCAAAAUAAAGUCUAUUAAUUAAAAAAAUAAUAAAGCCUGCUAUCCGGGCCACGCCCACCUGGGUUCUGUGCCGCAUGUGGGGCGGGCUGCAGAGUUGUUUCUUGAGCUCUGGGGGAGGGUGACGUGGAGCCGCCAAGGCGCUGCCCAGCGACACCUGAGACUCUGGCGCUGGCUCCCGCAGGCAUGGGCAGCUCCCGAGGGAGCCUCGCACUGUCCUGCUGAUGUCGAGGCCCGCCGGCCUGGCUGGGGUGGGGGGGCUGUUUGCUCCGCUGUUUUCUGAGGCUAAAAAGGGUGAGUUCUGCAUGUUUUGGAAGUGAGAGACGGGUGUGUCUAAAGCCUUCAGAGGAGAUUAGUCAGACUGGUGCCCUAUGCUGGCUCGGGCAGCAGCCGAGGCGAGGGUCUGAGUCAUCCUGGAGUGCCCUCAGCCCCACACCACUCCCUGUGCAGAAGCACUGCCCGGACAACGAAGAGAACGCUCUUCCUCGUGGCAGAGACUCCCCGACUCCCCCUGGGAGGGGUGACGCUGCCGCAUCUCACCUGGGGGGUCUGGACCCAGAGCUGGAAUCUUCGAGAGGGAUGUCGGGCUGGGCGUCUUGUGAUUCCCACAGGACAGGCCGUGCCUCCUGACUCUUGACCUAACGGGGGCAGCCAGGAACAAACAACGGAGCCGAAAGGCAGGUGGUUAGAACAGGAACCUCCUCGCCGACGGCGGAAACAAACCCGGUGCCGCAGUGUCGCUUCGCCUUGUAGGACCAGCCUCCCUGGCAGGCCCGCCCACCGCACACAGCCAGCCCCUGCGCCAGACUCAUUAUUACUGAGAAGUGCUGCCGUUUAGAAUGGGGACACUUCCUCCUUUUCGUGGUGUUUCCACCAGCGCUGACUCAACACCCCUGUGAGGCGGGCAGGACGGGGUCCUCUCGACGAGACAGCGGAGGCCUGGACGCACGGCCUUGUUCGUGUGCAGAGAUGGAGAGGAGGAAGGGCGGCCUCCUCGACCUCACCUUGAGGGGCCCCAUCCGCCCUGAACGCAGCUGCCGGGGCCCGCCUUCCUGGCCAUCCUGAGAUGGGGCCAUCCCCGAGGAGUCACAGAGGUCCCCUUCCUGCCACCACAAUCUUCAGCCCCCCGGUGCGAGCCACCUCUUAUGGGAAGCGAUGCAUGGCCACUCUGGUCCUCAGAAAUCCCCUUUUCCUUAGAAUUCAACAAAAGUUGGUCUUUGUCAUCUAUUUUCGAAAUAUAUAGACAUUUUUUUAUGUGGAUUUUUUUUUGACGUAGAUUCUUUCCCUCUGGUUACCAAAGCAGUUCUGUGCUUCCUCGUGGUGAAGACGCAGGCGUCACAGAAGCAGCUAACAUGGCGCACAGGCUGCCUGGCAGCGCCCGCGAGGAGUGUCUGCUGCGUGCUUUCCCUCAAGGGGAGUAGGGUGGCCGUGUCCCUGUCCCCAGCUCCUUGUCCCUCUCAGUUUGAGACUGUCCUGGGGGGUGGGGCAGGACCACCUGCUCUACCCUUGAGCUCUGUCCCACCCUUGACCUUUGAACUCCUCUGGCUCAGCCUGUUUUCUGGGUGAGGAACCCGGCUUGGCGACGUUUGGCUUGGGGACGGGGAUUCACGCCCCCACCAGAUCAGGGGCAGGAGGGAUGAAGCUGAGGGUGGAGUUUUUCCUUCUCCAGGCAGGUGAGUUCCACACCUCCUGCUGGCAGGAUGUCAGUUUUGGGGGCCCUGGGGUGGAGUUCCAGGUCAGGGCAGGCCGCAUUGGGGAGGGAGAGGUCGUGGGCGGCAGCAAUCUCUGUGC
ensembl:lncRNA